GGGGUUCUCACCCGGGUUCUGUGGACAUCGGAGCCGGAUUGUUCUCUGGGGUGGGGUCGUCCUGGGCACUGCAGAGAAAAAUGUGGCCCCAAUGUCUACAGGAGCCAGGGGGAGAGAGACCCUGUGUUAUUUGGAAAAAAACAGAGUCUGCUCUCUGCUCACACCGGACACCAGAAUAAACUCCCAAAGGGGCAGACAGCAUAAAUCAGGGUAACUCCAGCUCCUGGGAUUCACCUCCUCUCUCCCUCCCACUCAGGGGGUGGAUGGAAUUCUCCUCUGGCCAAACUGAACCAGCUCUCUACUGCCUUCACUCAGGGGCGCA
rnacentral:lncRNA from 1 species